GACGAACGCUGGCGGCGUGCCUAAUACAUGCAAGUCGAACGCAGUGGGGACGGGUGAGUAAAACGUGGGUAACCUCCCAUCAGAGGGGAUAACACUUGGAAACAGGUGCUAAACCGAUACUGAUGGAUGGUCCCGCGGUGCAUUAGCUAGUUGGUGAGGUAACGGCGCACCAAGGCCACGAUGCAUAGCCGACAGGGUGGGGUCUUCGGCCACACGUGUCAUGCGACACGCCCGAGACGCCUACGGGAGGCACAAGUAGGGAAUCUUCGGCAAUGGACGAAAGUCUGACCGAGCAACGCCGCGUGAGUGAAGAAGGUUUUCGGAUCGUAAAACUCUGUUGUUAGAGAAGCGGUAUCUAACCAGAAAGCCACGGCUAACUACGUGCCAGCAGCCGCGGUAAUUC
rnacentral:rRNA from 1 species